AGAGUUUGAUCCUGGCUCAGGAUGAACGCUGGCGGUCUGCUUAACACAUGCAAGUCGAACGGUCUCUUCGGAGAUAGUGGCGGGCGGGUGAGUAACGCGUGAGAACCUACCCUUAGGACGGGGACAACAGAGGGAAACUUCUGCUAAUCCCGGAUGAGCCGAAAGGUCAAAGAUUUAUCGCCUAGGGAUGAGCUCGCGUCUGAUUAGCUAGUUGGUAGGGUAAAAGCCUACCAAGGCAACGAUCAGUAGCUGGUCUGAGAGGAUGAUCAGCCACACUGGGACUGAGACACGGCCCAGACUCCUACGGGAGGCAGCAGUGGGGAAUUUUCCGCAAUGGGCGAAAGCCUGACGGAGCAAGACCGCGUGGGGGAGGAAAGCCUUUGGGUUGUAAACCCCUUUUCUCAGGGAAGAAGAAAGUGACGGUACCUGAGGAAUCAGCCUCGGCUAACUCCGUGCCAGCAGCCGCGGUAAUACGGAGGAGGCAAGCGUUAUCCGGAAUGAUUGGGCGUAAAGCGUCCGCAGGUGGCUCGUCAAGUCUGCUGUUAAAUCCAGUAGCUUAACUACUGAGGGGCAGUGGAAACUGACAAGCUAGAGUGCGGUAGGGGCAGAGGGAAUUCCUGGUGUAGCGGUGAAAUGCGUAGAGAUCACGAAGAACACCGGUGGCGAAAGCGCUCUGCUGGGCCGCAACUGACACUCAGGGACGAAAGCUAGGGGAGCGAAUGGGAUUAGAUACCCCAGUAGUCCUAGCUGUAAACGAUGGAGACUAUGUGUUGCCUGUAUCGACCCGGGCAGUGCCGUAGCUAACGCGUUAAGUCUCCCGCCUGGGGAGUACGCACGCAAGUGUGAAACUCAAAGGAAUUGACGGGGGCCCGCACAACCGGUGGAGUAUGUGGUUUAAUUUCGAUGCACAGCGAAGAACCCUUCCCGGGGUGACAUGUCUCGGAAAUUUUGGGAACCCGAGUGUGCGCUUUGGAGCCCGGACACACGGGGGGCAUAUGGCUUGUCAGCGCUUGUCGUGAGAUUUUGGGUAAGUCCCGCAAAAAGCGCAACCCUUGUCCCUAGGUUGCAUCCAUAAAGUGGGCACCUUAGGGAGACUUCCGGGGGCCAACCGGAGGAAGGUGGGGAAGACGUCAAGUCAUCAUGCCCCCUACGUCCUGGGGUACACACGUACUACAAUGGGGGAGGGACAAAGGGCAGCCAACUUGCGAAAGUGAGCUAAUCCCAGAAACCUUUCCUCAGUUCAGAUUGCAGGCUGCAACUCGCCUGCAUGAAGGAGGAAUCGCUAGUAAUCGCAGGUCAGCAUACUGCGGUGAAUCCGUUCCCGGGCCUUGUACACACCGCCCGUCACACCAUGGAAGUUAACCAUGCCCGAAGUCAUUACUCUAACCCUUUUGGGAGGGGAAUGCCGAAGGCAGGGUUGAUGACUGGGGUGAAGUCGUAACAAGGUA
rnacentral:rRNA from 1 species